rfam:Myotis davidii contig15381, whole genome shotgun sequence.
GGUGGUUCUCAGGUGAUGCAACCUGGAAUCAGGCUCCCUCCUUUCUGCUUCUGAGUGCUUCACUCAAGAACCGCA